GGCGUGCUAAUCUGCGAUAAGCGCCGGUAAGGUGAUAUGAACCGUUAUAACCGGCGAUACCCGAAUGGGGAAACCCAGUGUGAUUCGUCACACUAUCAUUAACUGAAUCCAUAGGUUAAUGAGGCGAACCGGGGGAACUGAAACAUCUAAGUACCCCGAGGAAAAGAAAUCAACCGAGAUUCCCCCAGUAGCGGCGAGCGAACGGGGAGGAGCCCAGAGCCUGAAUCAGCAUGUGUGUUAGUGGAAGCGUCUGGAAAGGCGCGCGAUACAGGGUGACAGCCCCGUACACAAAAGCGCAUGUGCUGUGAGCUCGAUGAGUAGGGCGGGACACGUGGUAUCCUGUCUGAAUAUGGGGGGACCAUCCUCCAAGGCUAAAUACUCCUGACUGACCGAUAGUGAACCAGUACCGUGAGGGAAAGGCGAAAAGAACCCCGGCGAGGGGAGUGAAAAAGAACCUGAAACCGUGUACGUACAAGCAGUGGGAGCACCCUUCGGGG
rnacentral:rRNA from 1 species